ACAAGGGAAAAUGGUUUUAAUCUGAGACAGGGGAGGUUUAGGUUAGAUAUUAGGAGGAAGUUUUUCACACAGAGGGUGUUGACACACUGGAACAGGUUGCCCAAGGAGGUUGUGGAUGCCCCAUCCCUGGAGGCAUUCAAGGCCAGGCUGGAUGUGGCUCUGGGCAGCCUGGUCUGGUGGUUGGUGACCCUGCACACAGCAGGGGGUUGAAACCAGAUGAUUAUUGUGGUCCUUUUCAACCCAGGCCACUCUAUGAUUCUAUGAAUGCAGAGUUAUUUGGGAAAAAAAAAACCCAAACAUAUUAGUAUUGGUUGU